CCUUUAUGUCUUUCUGAACUUAUUGCCUCUUCUUCUUUCCUUCAGUCCACUCCAGCAUUCUGAAGUAUUCAUCCUGAUGGUCCAUCAG